GCAAGUGUCACGCGCGCGGAUGAUGGUUU
rnacentral:piRNA from 1 species